GCCGCGGUAAGACGAACCGUGCGAACGUUAUUCGGAAUCACUGGGCUUAAAGCGCGUGUAGGCGGGUCGGUGCGUCGGCCGCUGAAAUCCCCCGGCUCAACCGGGGAAGGGGCGCCGAGACGGCCGGCCUGGAGCGACGUAGGGGGGACUGGAACUUCCGGUGGAGCGGUGAAAUGCGUUGAGAUCGGAAGGAACGCCCGUGGCGAAAGCGAGUCCCUGGACGUCGGCUGACGCUGAGACGCGAAAGCCAGGGGAGCGAAC
rnacentral:rRNA from 1 species